GACAGGGGGGGCAAGCGUUGUUCGGAAUUACUGGGCGUAAAGGGCUCGUAGGUGGCCAACUAAGUCAGACGUGAAAUCCCUCAGCUUAACUGGGGAACUGCGUCUGAUACUGGAUGGCUUGAGUUUGGGAGAGGGAUGCGGAAUUCCAGGUGUAGCGGUGAAAUGCGUAGAUAUCUGGAGGAACACCGGUGGCGAAGGCGGCAUCCUGGACCAACACUGACACUGAGGAGCGAAAGCCAGGGGAGCAAACGGG
rnacentral:rRNA from 1 species